GGCCUGGUAGCCAAGUGGUAAGGCAGAGCUCUGCAAAAGCUCUAUACGCCGGUUCAAUUCCGGCCCAGGCCU
rnacentral:tRNA from 3 species